rnacentral:lncRNA from 1 species
CCUGUGCAAAUUCUCACAUCCAGCUUGUAGUAGAUGGAAAUUUUUACAAGUGACUUAAUUUCUCACAAUUCCACUAGAUACAUAUUUAAUGCAUUUUUAAAAUAGAUAAUGUCAUUUCCAUGGCUCUUUCAGAUUAUCUAUCAGAAUAUUGGUCAAGUUAGUUAUUCAAAUCUUUCAAUGGAUCAGAAAUGAGUGCACUAUCUUCCAAAGAGGAUAUCUAUCCCACAAGAAAAUGCCUUUCCUGAAAUGUUUCCUAAGCUCAAUCUUACAAAGACCAUCAUACUCACUGGUAGAAACUAUCCAGUCCUUUGAUUAGGACCUGAAGAAAAAUAAACUGCAUUAUUCUUGGUUCUGAGCAAACUAUGAGUGAAAAUGAAAUAUACAUUAAUAUUUGUAAAGUGGUUUGAAGAACAACAUUUUAAAAUGAAAAAGCAGAGGUCUUUGACUUUUAGUCUAUGAAGCACUGUGUUUUGAGGAAGUUCCGUCAGGCAGUA